rnacentral:rRNA from 1 species
AGGCCUAACACAUGCAAGUCGAACGGCAGCACAGAGGAGCUUGCUCCUUGGGUGGCGAGUGGCGGACGGGUGAGGAAUGCAUCGGAAUCUGCCUAUUUGUGGGGGAUAACGUAGGGAAACUUACGCUAAUACCGCAUACGUCCUACGGGAGAAAGUGGGGGACCUUCGGGCCUCACGCAGAUAGAUGAGCCGAUGCCGGAUUAGCUAGUUGGCGGGGUAAAGGCCCACCAAGGCGACGAUCCGUAGCUGGUCUGAGAGGAUGAUCAGCCACACUGGAACUGAGACACGGUCCAGACUCCUACGGGAGGCAGCAGUGGGGAAUAUUGGACAAUGGGCGCAAGCCUGAUCCAGCCAUGCCGCGUGUGUGAAGAAGGCCUUCGGGUUGUAAAGCACUUUUGUCCGGAAAGAAAAGCGCUCGAUUAAUACUCGGGUGUUAUGACGGUACCGGAAGAAUAAGCACCGGCUAACUUCGUGCCAGCAGCCGCGGUAAUACGAAGGGUGCAAGCGUUACUCGGAAUUACUGGGCGUAAAGCGUGCGUAGGUGGUUUGUUAAGUCUGAUGUGAAAGCCCUGGGCUCAACCUGGGAACUGCAUUGGAUACUGGCUUACUAGAGUGCGGUAGAGGGUAGCGGAAUUCCCGGUGUAGCAGUGAAAUGCGUAGAUAUCGGGAGGAACAUCCGUGGCGAAGGCGGCUACCUGGACCAGCACUGACACUGAGGCACGAAAGCGUGGGGAGCAAACAGGAUUAGAUACCCUGGUAGUCCACGCCCUAAACGAUGCGAACUGGAUGUUGGGUGCAACUAGGCACUCAGUAUCGAAGCUAACGCGUUAAGUUCGCCGCCUGGGAAGUACGGUCGCAAGACUGAAACUCAAAGGAAUUGACGGGGGCCCGCACAAGCGGUGGAGUAUGUGGUUUAAUUCGAUGCAACGCGAAGAACCUUACCUGGCCUUGACAUGCACGGAACUUUCCAGAGAUGGAUUGGUGCCUUCGGGAACCGUGACACAGGUGCUGCAUGGCUGUCGUCAGCUCGUGUCCUGGAAAUGUUGGGUUAAGUCCCGCAACGAGCGCAACCCUUGUCCUUAGUUGCCAGCACGUAAUGGUGGGAACUCUAAGGAGACCGCCGGUGACAAACCGGAGGAAGGUGGGAUGACUUCAAGUCAUCAUGGGCCCUUAGGGCCAGGGCUACACACGUACUACAAUG